rnacentral:rRNA from 1 species
AAUGAACGCUGGCGGUAGGCCUAACACAUGCAAGUCGAACGGCAGCACAGGAGAGCUUGCUCUCUGGGUGGCGAGUGGCGGACGGGUGAGGAAUACAUCGGAAUCUACUUUUUCGUGGGGGAUAACGUAGGGAAACUUACGCUAAUACCGCAUACGACCUACGGGUGAAAGCAGGGGACCUUCGGGCCUUGCGCGAUUGAAUGAGCCGAUGUCGGAUUAGCUAGUUGGCGGGGUAAAGGCCCACUAAGGCGACGAUCCGUAGCUGGUCUGAGAGGAUGAUCAGCCACACUGGAACUGAGACACGGUCCAGACUCCUACGGGAGGCAGCAGUGGGGAAUAUUGGACAAUGGGCGCAAGCCUGAUCCAGCCAUACCGCGUGGGUGAAGAAGGCCUUCGGGUUGUAAAGCCCUUUUGUUGGGAAAGAAAUCCAGCUGGCUAAUACCCGGUUGGGAUGACGGUACCCAAAGAAUAAGCACCGGCUAACUCCGUGCCAGCCGCCGCAGUAA